AUACGUAGGUGGCGAGCGUUGUCCGGAAUUACUGGGCGUAAAGGAUGCGUAGGUGGAUAUUUAAGUGGGAUGUGAAAUCCCCGGGCUCAACCCGGGAACUGCAUUCCAAACUGGGUAUCUAGAGUGCAGGAGAGGAAAGCGGAAUUCCUAGUGUAGCGGUGAAAUGCGUAGAUAUUAGGAGGAACACCAGUGGCGAAGGCGGCUUUCUGGACUGUAACUGACACUGAGGCAUGAAAGCGUGGGUAGCAAACAGGAUUAGAUACCCUGGUAGUCCACGCCGUAAACGAUGGGUACUAGGUGUAGGAGGUAUCGACCCCUUCUGUGCCGUCGUUAACACAAUAAGUACCCCGCCUGGGGAGUACGGUCGCAAGACUAAAACUCAAAGGAAUUGACGGGG
rnacentral:rRNA from 1 species